GGGAGUCUGAGGCUAAACAGCUGCUAGCUGACAGGCGGCUGAGUCCAGCCACAGGGAGUCCUGAAGAGAGGUCACCCAGCACAGGGUGAGCUGCCAGAGUGCCUUGGCCAUCCCAAUAUGGAGCUCCAUCCAGACGGCUCUUACAAAGAGCUGGACUUCUGUACCUCCUUGGUGGCAAGUCCCUGAAUUCAAGAUUUCCCUGAGGAAGGGACCUUAUAUUGGUCUGGACCAGGCCGGAUACCCCACUGCAAGCCCACUUCCGGUGGCCUCCAAUCUCUUCCUCCGCAAAAUUGUUCCCGGCUUUCCUGUCCUGGUGAGAGAGGGACCUUUGUCCUGUCUGCAUCUGCGUGGGGUGAAAGGGGAAGGUGUGCCAAACUGGAGGGUUCGUCCACGCCCACUGUUCUUACAGUUUCAGCACCGCCUCCCUAAACAGGACUCUGAGUCACGGAGUCCUUAUUUGGACAGUGGAUUUUAUGUUAGGUUGUUUUGCUUAAAACCCAAAUGAUUCAAUCAGA